UACGGGGGGGGCAAGCGUUGUUCGGAAUUACUGGGCGUAAAGGGCUCGUAGGUGGCCAACUAAGUCGGACGUGAAAUCCCUCGGCUUAACCGGGGAACUGCGUCCGAUACUGGUUGGCUUGAGUUUGGGAGAGGGAUGCGGAAUUCCAGGUGUAGCGGUGAAAUGCGCAGAUAUCAGGAGGAACACCGGUGGCGAAGGCGGUUCUCUGGGCAUUACCUGACGCUGAGGAGCGAAAGUGUGGGGAGCGAACAGG
rnacentral:rRNA from 1 species